rnacentral:rRNA from 1 species
GAUGAACGCUGGCGGCGUGCCUAACACAUGCAAGUCGAGCGAAGCACUCUACCUGAUUUCUUCGGGAUGAAGGUUUAGUGACUGAGUGGCGGACGGGUGAGUAACGCGUGGGUAACCUGCCUCAUACAGGGGGAUAACAGUUAGAAAUGGCUGCUAAUACCGCAUAAGCGCACAGUACCACAUGGUACGGUGUAGAAAAACUCCGGUGGUAUGAGAUGGACCCGCGUCUGAUUAGCUAGUUGGCAGGGUAACGGCCUACCAAGGCGACGAUCAGUAGCCGACCUGAGAGGGUGAUCGGCCACAUUGGGACUGAGACACGGCCCAA